UACGUAGGGGGCAAGCGUUGUCCGGAUUCAUUGGGCGUAAAGAGCGUGUAGGCGGCCAGGUAGGUCGGUUGUGAAAACUGGAGGCUCAACCUUCAGAGGUCGACCGAAACCAUCUGGCUAGAGUCCGGGAGAGGAGAGUGGAAUUCCUGGUGUAGCGGUGAAAUGCGCAGAUAUCAGGAAGAACACCCGUGGCGAAAGCGGCUCACUGGCCCGGUACUGACGCUGAGGCGCGAAAGCCAGGGGAGCGAACGGG
rnacentral:rRNA from 1 species